AUGAAAUUGACAAGAUGUGCGAAGCACAUGAGCUUUACUUAUGCACGGGUUCUGCGCCCGGCUUUGUACAAAGGAUUACAUGCAACAUCGGCAAGACUUGUACAAAAGGUGGUUGCCGGAACAGGUUCUGGCAACCACGCCUUACGGGUAAAACUUACGAAGAUGCUCAAUAUUCCAGGAGUUGCUCACCGGAAUGCCAUCUUCAGUCUCAAGGCGGACAGCGCCAGGCCUAGUGACUCGUUUCACCCGAUAAGGGCCUUCCCACUUCUGCGUCAACUUCUUGGAAUUCUUGGCGGACUGAACGCGCCGAAGAACAAGGUCGCCUUCCUCGAAACUUCUGGCAUUAACCUUGCGGCUAUGGUAGCGGCGCAAAGCUUGCUGGUAUCGAGCAGCUCGUACAGCAGCCUGAAGACGGUCCUCCUCAAGGAGCAGCGCGUCAUCUUGCCGUAG
rnacentral:rRNA from 1 species